rnacentral:rRNA from 1 species
GUCUGCAGCUAUACCACCCUGAAUGCGCCCAAGCUUGUCUGAGCUCAAGCUAAGCAGGGUCGGGCCUGGUUAGUACUUGGAUGGGAGAUAAAAUGUUUUCCUUGCAUGGUCAUUUCUGACU